UACGAAGGGGGCUAGCGUUGCUCGGAAUUACUGGGCGUAAAGGGCUCGUAGGCGGCCAACUAAGUCAGACGUGAAAUCCCUCGGCUUAACCAGGGAACUGCGUCUGAUACUGGAUGGCUUGAGUUUGGGAGAGGGAUGCGGAAUUCCAGGUGUAGCGGUGAAAUGCGUAGAUAUCUGGAGGAACACCGGUGGCGAAGGCGACAUCCUGGACCAACACUGACGCUGAGUGAGCGAAAGCCAGGGGAGCAAACGGG
rnacentral:rRNA from 1 species